rnacentral:rRNA from 1 species
AACGUAGGUGGCGAGCGUUGUCCGGAAUUAUUGGGCGUAAAGAGCUCGUAGGCGGUCUGUCGCGUCGGCUGUGAAAUCCCGAGGCUCAACCUCGGGUCUGCAGUGGGUACGGGCAGACUGGAGUGCGGUAGGGGAGAAUGGAAUUCCUGGUGUAGCGGUGGAAUGCGCAGAUAUCAGGAGGAACACCGAUGGCGAAGGCAGUUCUCUGGGCCGUAACUGACGCUGAGGAGCGAAAGCGUGGGGAGCGAACAGG